UAUCAUGAUGACUAUACAAAAACAAAGCUGGAAUUACUGGCAGAAUUAUACUGUUGAAAAGUUUUUGCACCUCGAGACUGAUA
rnacentral:snoRNA from 1 species